AGAAGAGCUGGGGCUUCUCUCCGGUUUCGCUGCGGAGGGAGAACCCGAGGGCGUGGCCUAUGAGGAGGGCCAGUGAUCACAGAAACAGUAUCUCAAGAAGGAAGGAACUUAGAUCCCUGAGUCACUGCUUGAAGGAGUAUCUCUGGCCUCCAAGGAGUACCACAUCAGGCUAUGAUACCUCUUCUAGCAUCUUCAUCCAGAGAAGGCAAUGGCACCC